AAAUUUACACUCUCUGGGCAUAAUAGAAUAAUAUAAUUAGGUUUUACGCUUUGUUCGAUAGAAGGAGAAAAAGUACUCGUUGCAAAGUUAUACUGUUAGGGCGCAACUGAGUAGUCUAUUGUUGUUCCGGUUCUGGUUCUUGUGAACGUUGACAUUGAUUCCUUCCAAAUUUACACUUUUAGGGCAUAAUAGAACAAUUUAAUUAGGUUUUGCUUUUUUUUUCUAUAGAACGAGAAAAAGUACUUGUUGCAAUGUUAUACUGUUAGAGCGCAACUGAGCAGUCUAACGUUGUUACGGUUUUGGUUCUUGUGAACGUGGACAUCGAUUCGUUCCAAAUUUAUACUCUCGGGGCAUAAUAGAAAGCUUCUACUUCUUGUUCGAUAGAGUGGGAAAAAGUACUCGUUAUAAAGUUAUACUGUUAUGGCGGAACAGAGUAGUCUAAUGUUAUUCCGAUUUUGGUUCCCGGUUCUCUAAAAGUAACCGUGCGAUUUUUGCA
rnacentral:lncRNA from 1 species